rnacentral:tRNA from 1 species
GACCGCGUAGCUUAGUUGGCAGAGCAUUGCCAUUGGGCUAGUAUUCCAAAGGUCGUAGGUUCGAUUCGCACCGUGGACA